ensembl:misc_RNA Y_RNA Y RNA
GGCUGGUCCUAUGGUAGGGGGUUAUCAGAACUUGUUAACAUUAGUGUCACUAAAGUUGGUAUUCAACGCCCCACUACUAAAUUUGACUGGCUUUUA